UACGUAGGGUGCGAGCGUUGUCCGGAAUUACUGGGCGUAAAGAGCUCGUAGGUGGUUUGUCGCGUUGUUCGUGAAAACUCACAGCUCAACUGUGGGCGUGCGGGCGAUACGGGCAGACUGGAGUACUGCAGGGGAGACUGGAAUUCCGUGGUGUAGCGGUGGAAUGCGCAGAUAGUCAGGAGGAACACCGGUGGCGAAGGCGGGUCUCUGGAACGCAACUGACGCCUGGAGAACGCGAAAGCGUGGGGAGCAAACAGG
rnacentral:rRNA from 1 species